UAACGCGUGGAUAACCUGCCUCACACUGGGGAAUAACAGUUAGAAAUGACUGCUAAUACCGCAUAAGCGCACAGUGCCGCAUGGCAGUGUGUGAAAAACUCCGGUGGUGUGAGAUGGAUCCGCGUCUGAUUAGCCAGUUGGCGGGGUAACGGCCCACCAAAGCGACGAUCAGUAGCCGACCUGAGAGGGUGACCGGCCACAUUGGGACUGAGACACGGCCCAA
rnacentral:rRNA from 1 species